ACUCUAUUUGGACUGAUUAUAUUACAAUAUCGACCUUAGCCGAAAUUGAACAAAAAGGAUCUGUUUCAAAAGCUGUCGGUGGUACUGUUGGUGGUUUGUUAGUGAUAUGUAUCAUCGUUGCCGUCAUUUUAGUUUGGAGGCGUAGGAAAACAGAUCGGAAAGAUCCUAUCUCGAAGCAAAUUUUACUAAAAAGAUCUUGUACGAAGAAGCCCGAAAAUACUACAUAUGAAAAUAGUUGUAUGUUGACUCCGAACUCAAAUACAUAUAAUAUGACAAGUGCAUUUACCGAGAAUCUAAAACAACCUACGAUGCAUGUACAAGCUGCAAACAAACUUGCACAAAAUAACCAAAAGUCUCUCAAUCGUGCAUUUGAACAUACGUUUAGAAUGGACUAUACAAAAAAUACUGACCCUCACCGUAAAGCGUUUGUUGGUGACAUCCGACGUUCUGGAAAAGCAGAUGUUGAUCAGCGGCAUGGACAAAAUUCGUUUGAACUUGAGCAAGAUACAAUCUAUGAUAAUCUUGUGAAGAAACAAACACAGUUUAGAAGUAGGGAUAUAGCCAUUUAUACUUUACGAUAAUCUGUUGUGAAAGCCAAAGACGAUAGCACCGAAUUGUUUAGCGAAUUUAU